UUUUCUGUAUAACAAUGAUUAACAUUUAAGCAACAACAUAUAUUGGCACCAGACAACAUACAAAUCCCCAGACAUGCUAACCAGUCCUCCAAAUCAAUUAGAUACUAAAGCAUGUACAGUUACCUCAUGAAUUGCAAAGAAUAAACUCGAGCUCCGUCUUUUAUCAUAGGAACAGCUAAUAUCACAAUCGAGCAACCAAUGGACACUCACCGGCACCCAUGACCUGCUUGCUUCCCAUGAAGGGAAGCAAUUACUUCUUUUAAUUUCUCACCGAAGAACAUAGUUUGCACCGGGUAUUACAUUUAGGUUUCUAUUAUUAACUCUACUCAUUAGGAUCAUGCAUAUCGUCAGAAUUGCAAUCUGACCGAGGACUAAAAUUUGCAGCUGAACAGCGCAAGAACCAGCUUACAAUAAAACAUAUUACACCGAGAACCACAAAGAUUUUAACUAUGGUGAUCACAGGUAUUGAAAACUCUUAGUAGCAGCAACAAGUCAAUUCGACAAGUACAUAACUUGAUUUUGUAGAAAUCCACUAACUCAUAUAAUAAAAGGCUAGUGGAUUUUGAUGAGCAAAUACCAAUCUGAACAAUAUGAAGUCAAUAGUGGCAGCAGAAGCACGAAACACAUCUGCAUCCUCUAUCUCCCCGCUUUGAGGAAGCUAGAUAUCCAGUGAUGGAAAUUGUCCAAAUGAAAUAAAAAUUGAAGCAUUUUGUCAAAAGAAAGGUUAAAGUUCUCUAACUUAUUUAUCAUUUGGCGGAACUUAGUGCUAUAGAAAUGCACCAGUCACUAAAAAUUCUUCUUAAUGUUUUUAAAAUACAAGCAAAAAUGAUCAAUCAUCAACCCCACCACAUCUUAGACCAAUGUUGUCACUACGAAAUCCUAAAAUCCUUUUUGAUCAACGCAGCAAGUCCAUCCAAUAAAUGGUAGAUAAAAACCAACAGUUAUCAAGAAUCAAACGUACACAUUGCCUGAACAAACUGUAAGUGAAUCAGCAAACACAUGUGAGCUUUAUUAGAA